UACGUCGGCAGCGAGCGUUGUUCGGAGUUACUGGGCGUAAAGAGUGCGUAGGCGGUUUUCUAAGUUUGGUGUGAAAUCCCUCAGCUUAACUGGGGAACUGCGUCUGAUACUGGAUGGCUCGAGUGUGGGAGAGGAAUGCGGAAUUCCAGGUGUAGCGGUGAAAUGCGUAGAUAUCUGGAGGAACACCGGUGGCGAAGGCGGCAUUCUGGACCAUAACUGACACUGAGAGACGAAAGCCAGGGGAGCAAACGGG
rnacentral:rRNA from 1 species